UAGCUCAGUUGGUAGAGCAUGGUGUUUGCAACACCAGGGUUGUGGGUUCGACUCCCAC
rnacentral:tRNA from 1 species